rnacentral:lncRNA from 1 species
ACUGUGUCACCGUCUUCACCCCGGAAGGAAGGAGGAAGAAACUGAAGCGCAGAGAAAUGAAUUUACCUGCCUACAAUCAAAGAGCCCCAAGGGGUCAGACUCUUUGACGCCAGACCCCAUACCACCUUGCCUCCUGCGAGUUCCAAGAAGACCCCUUUCCUGGCGCUGAGCCCCCUGGAUCACCACUGACUGCAUCAGCCUCUUCCACCUGCCUCUUGCACUAGACCAUGGACUCAGGCAGAGAAAAGACCACGUCCCUUUCACUGUCAUGCUCCAGGACCGAGGCAGUGCCUGUGAGAUAGUCCUCAGGGGCACUCACAAAUAUUCCUUUUCUCUCCCCUUUGGGGCGCAUGGUAAUGUGACACUUUCCUGCCCCCUGGAGGCUGAUGUGGCCAUGUGACUUGCUUUGGCCCAUGAAAUAGAAGUGACAUGUUAUUUCUGAGUGGAAGCUUUAAGAGGAGAUACAUAUGACAGGAACAUACAAGAUGGUGGCUGCUCCACCAGCCUGCUUCCCAAAGUGAGCAUGACAUAGAGCAGAGCCCCAGGACGACCUGCAAUAACAAGAAACUUGAGUGAGAAAUACGCCUCGCGACCUUAUGCCACUAAAAUUGGGGGAAUGUUUGUUACCGCACCACAGCCUACAUCUCCUGACUGACAUGGUGCAUGUUAGUAGAGUCUUAAUAAAUGUUUAUAGAAGGAAAUAAAGAAUGGAGAGAAGAGGGAGGGAGGGAGGGAAAAAGAGAGGGAUGCGAACAAGGACUUGUGGUCCCCUCUGAGCAGAGACAAAUACUUCCAGACCCCAGCAGUAUCCUCCAGAAGCUGAUCAGAUUCGGGGACAGAGCCUGCUGCACGUGACAAGCCCUCAUCUGAGCCAUCUGAGCUGCAUGGGCUGCAGAGGGACGCAGCCAGCAGGGACCAGCUGCUCCCGGGAUCCUCCCAGCCUUUCCAACUCCCAGGCAGCUAAGAGGCAGAAGCUCCCGGCCCUCCUUCAGAGGAACCAGGUCUUUGUGCU